rnacentral:rRNA from 1 species
GGCGAACGGGUGAGUAACACGUGAGUAACCUGCCCUUAACUCUGGGAUAAGCCUGGGAAACUGGGUCUAAUACCGGAUAUGACUCCUCAUCGCAUGGUGGGGGGUGGAAAGCUUUUUUGUGGUUUUGGAUGGACUCGCGGCCUAUCAGCUUGUUGGUGAGGUAAUGGCUUACCAAGGCGACGACGGGUAGCCGGCCUGAGAGGGUGACCGGCCACAUUGGGACUGAGACACGGCCCAGACUCCUACGGGAGGCAGCAGUGGGGAAUAUUGCACAAUGGGCGAAAGCCUGAUGCAGCGACGCCGCGUGAGGGAUGACGGCCUUCGGGUUGUAAACCUCUUUCAGUAGGGAAGAAGCGAAAGUGACGGUACCUGCAGAAGAAGCGCCGGCUAACUACGUGCCAGCAGCCGCGGUAAUACGUAGGGCGCAAGCGUUAUCCGGAAUUAUUGGGCGUAAAGAGCUCGUAGGCGGUUUGUCGCGUCUGCCGUGAAAGUCCGGGGCUCAACUCCGGAUCUGCGGUGGGUACGGGCAGACUAGAGUGAUGUAGGGGAGACUGGAAUUCCUGGUGUAGCGGUGAAAUGCGCAGAUAUCAGGAGGAACACCGAUGGCGAAGGCAGGUCUCUGGGCAUUAACUGACGCUGAGGAGCGAAAGCAUGGGGAGCGAACAGGAUUAGAUACCCUGGUAGUCCAUGCCGUAAACGUUGGGCACUAGGUGUGGGGGACAUUCCACGUUUUCCGCGCCGUAGCUAACGCAUUAAGUGCCCCGCCUGGGGAGUACGGCCGCAAGGCUAAAACUCAAAGGAAUUGACGG